rnacentral:rRNA from 1 species
CCUACGGGUGGCAGCAGUGAGGAAUAUUGGUCAAUGGACGAGAGUCUGAACCAGCCAAGUAGCGUGAAGGAUGACUGCCCUAUGGGUUGUAAACUUCUUUUAUAUGGGAAUAAAACGUUCCACGUGUGGGAUUUUGUAUGUACCAUAUGAAUAAGGAUCGGCUAACUCCGUGCCAGCAGCCGCGGUAAUACGGAGGAUCCGAGCGUUAUCCGGAUUUAUUGGGUUUAAAGGGAGCGUAGGUGGUUUGUUAAGUCAGUUGUGAAAGUUUGCGGGUCAACCGGAAAAGUGCAGGUGAAACGGGCAGUCUUGAGUACAGUAGAGGUGGGUGGAAUUCGAGGUGUAGCGGGGAAAUGCUGAGAUAUAACGAAGAACUCCGAUUGCGAAGGCAGUUAACUGGACUGCAACUGACACUGAGGCUCGAAAGUGUGGGUAUCAAACAGGAUUAGAUACCCUUGUAGUC